rnacentral:rRNA from 1 species
UCGGGAAUAUUGGACAAUGGGGGCAACCCUGAUCCAGCCAUGCCGCGUGUGUGAAGAAGGCCCUAGGGUUGUAAAGCACUUUUAGUAGUGAGGAAGGCUCGGUAGUUAAUACCUGCCGGGAUUGACGUUAGCUACAGAAAAAGCACCGGCUAAUUUCGUGCCAGCAGCCGCGGUAAUACGAAAGGUGCAAGCGUUAAUCGGAAUUACUGGGCGUAAAGCGCGCGUAGGCGGCUUGGUAAGUUGGGUGUGAAAGCCCCGGGCUCAACCUGGGAACUGCAUCCAAAACUGCCUAGCUAGAGUAUGGUAGAGGAUGGCGGAAUUUCCUGUGUAGCGGUGAAAUGCGUAGAUAUAGGAAGGAACAUCAGUGGCGAAGGCGGCCAUCUGGACCAAUACUGACGCUGAGGUGCGAAAGCGUGGGGAGCAAACAGG